CAGGAUCUUAAAGAAAUAAUGGAUUAAUACCAUCCACACACCCGUACCUGCAAGUACGGAAAAUACAAGUAUAAAGUUGGGGAGAUGUGGAAGACGAAUGACUGCUAUCAAUGCAGCUGUAUAGCUCCAACACAAAUUAUUUGCUGUGACAUGGUAAAUUAUACAGUUGAUGUUCGUCAAUAUUGUGAUACGUGGUACGAUGCAAGGACUUGCCACCCCUCUCAACCAUGCGGUCGACGUUUGAAGCAACAAUUGAAGCGAUACAAGAAAUCAAUUACAGUAUACAGA